GCUAUGUAUUUGUGUUCUCUGUUACCUUCCGAGUGCCCCCCAAACCAAGAUCCACCUGCCCCUGGACAGGAGCCCAGCGCCGUGCGCAACCAGCGAGGGGGCGGGUCUGGGGGCGGGGCCUAGCUACAGCUUCCGGCGGAAGAGCCUGGGAGCAAGAUGGCUGCCCCCUAGACGGUGCUGUUUUUCUGUUGAGCCGGCGUGAGGGCUCCACUGAAGCUAGCCGGGCGGGUCUCUUGUGGCUCUGCUCCUCCAGCCUGUGAGCAGCGCCUGCGACCUAAGGGCUUUGCUGGGCCUAGCGCUGCCCAGAACCCGUUUCCCUCUGACCCUGGUCUCGGAGAGUUGGUGAGAUCUGUUAUUGUGACCUCGGACCGCAUUCCAAACUCUCAUGCCCAUUCAUUCCAUAAACUCCGCAGUCCUGGCCCCUUAGAAGAAGGAAUUCACAGAAUAGGUGGGGAAUUAUGGAAAACAUCUUUACCGGGGCUGUGAUUGUAUAGAAGAGAGAGUCAAACUGGAGGCAGUGAAGGUAUCCGAGUAACCAGAGGCUCGAUGUGGGCUGGCAGAGGAGGUGGACAACAGAGUUCUUCAUGCUGCUUCCUUUUGGAGACACCACAGAUACUUAGUUUCUUCUGGUGAAACAGAGAGAUAGAGCCAGAGAGGACAAGCGGAGGAGUGGCAGAGGGAGAAGGAGAAGCAGGCUCCCCGCUGAGCAGGGAGCCUGACGCGGGGCUCAAUCCCAGGACCAGGGGAUCAUGACCUGAGCCGAAGGCAGAUGCUCAACCAUCUGAGCCACCCAUGGAGGGAAUAACUGUGUGGGCAGAUGAUGACUGGCUGAAGAAGUUUUCUGGGAAGACUCUUGAAGAGAAUAAAGAGGAAGAAGGGUUGGAGCCUCCCAGAGUGGAAACCCGGGAGGUGGCGGUCUGAGAUGAGAAAGGACAGUGAGGAUACCCCCUCACCAGCAUCCGCCAUCCUCCUGACCUUUCCCGCACCCUCACUGAAGACCUUGGCACCAGGCUCGCUGCCUUCCUAUUCCUGGCCUGAUUCCAGAGAGGCCUCAGCUCCUCAGAAUGUACCCAGGGAGAGCCCACGGCAAAAAAGGUCCGGUCGAAUCCGAUGACCAUGUACAUGGACAUCAAGAUCGGGAACAAGCCGGCCGGCCGCAUCCGGAUGUUGCUGCGUUCCGACGUUGUUCCCAUGACAGCAGAGCGAAAGAGCACAAGCAAGGGGAGCAGCAGAGGGAGAAGAAGAAGCAGGCCUCCUUUCAAGCAGGGAGCCUGAUGCGGUCCUCGAUCUCAGGACCCUGGGAUCAUGACCUGAGCCGAAGGCAGAUGCUUAACCAUCUGAGCCGCCCAGGCGCCCCAUCAGUAUAUUUUUGACAUCGUAACUAAGAAGGUUUUGCCUAACCUAAGGUUACGAAGAUUUACUCCUAUAUUUUCUUUUAAGAGGUUUAUGGCUUAGCUCUUACAUUUAGGGUUUUGAUCGAUUUUGAGUUAAAUUUUGUGUAUAGUGUGAGAAAAAGAGGUCUAAUUUCCUUCUUUUGCACGUGGAUGUCCAGUUGUCCCAGCAUCAUUUGUUGAAAAGGCUGUUCUUUUCCUGUUUAAAUGUCUUGGCAUCCCUGUUGAAAAUCAAUUGACUAUAGAUGUAAGGGUUUUAUUUCUGGCCUUUUAUUCUGUUUCAUCGAUCUAUAGAUCUGUCCUAUGCCAGUUCCACUCUGUCAUGUAUUCUGUAGCUCCGUAGUACAUUUUGAAUUUGACAGGUGUGAGUCCUCCAGUUUUGUUCUUUUUUCCAGGUUGUUUUGGCUGUUCUAGGUCUCUAGCUUUUCCAUAUGAAUUUUGGGAAUAACUUGUCAAUUUCUGCAAAAAAAGUCAGCUGGGAUUUUGAUAGAGGUUGUGCUGAAUCUGGAAAUCAGUUUGGGAAGUGUUGCCGUAUUAACAGUAUUAAGUUUUCCAAUCCACGAACAUGGGUGUCUUUCCAUUUGUUUAGAUCUUCUUUAAUAUAUUUCAGGAAUAUUUUAUAGCUACCAGAACAUAAGCUUAUACUUCCAUUGAAUUUAUUUCUAGGUAUUCUUUUGAUGUUACUGUAAAUGGAAUUGUUUUGUUUUUUUUUUUGAAUAUUUGACAGCGAGAUAGAAACCACAAGCAAGGGGAGUGGCAGAGGGAGAGGGAGAAUCAGGCUCCCCACUGAAUAGGAAGCCUGACAUGUGGGGCUCGAUCCCAGGACCCUGGGAUCAUGACCUGAGCCAAAGGCAGACACUUAACUGACUGAGCCACCCAGGCGCCCUUGGAAUUGUUUUCUUGAUUUCAUUUUCAGAUUGUUCAUUGCUAAAGUAUAGAAAUAAAUUGAUUUUUGUAUAUUGAUCUUGUAUUCUGCAACCUUGCUGAAUUUAUUAGUCCUAAUAGUUUUCUAGUGGAUGCCUUAGGAUUUUCUGUAUAAGUUCAUGUUGUCUCCAAUUUUCACUUCAUUUUUUUUUGCAAUUUCCCCUGACUAGACCCUCUAGUACAAUGUUGAAUAGAAGUGGUGAGGGUAGACAUCUUGGUCUUAUUCCUGAUCUUAGGGGGAAAAUAUCUAGUCUUCACCAUGUGGGUUUUUUUUUGUAGGUGCUCUUCGUCAGACUGAGGAAGUUCCCUUCUAUUCCUAGUUUGUUGAGUGUUUAUCAUGAAAAGGUGUUGGGUUUUGCAGGGUGCCUUUUCCUUGUCCGUUGAGGUGAUCAUGUGUUUUUUGUACUCUGUUCUGUUAAUGUGCUAUAUUAUAUUGCUUUUUGGAUGUUAAA